rfam:Nicotiana attenuata strain TT chromosome 12, whole genome shotgun sequence.
UGGACAGAUUAUUGUAUUCGACUGUAUUCACGGCAUGAAACAGGGGUUUACACUGUUUUUAAACGGAAAGUGAAUCAAUUAACAUAAUAGACUCCU